rnacentral:lncRNA from 1 species
GGCACGUAAGCUGCUGGGAAUCUCGGAGAACACUACAGCACUUAAAAUGGCAGCUCCUGUCUGUGGACACCCUUGAUGUCUAGAAGCUGACUAAGGCUAGGGUUCUGUUGCUCCUUGGCUAAGGGCACCACUUUCAGAUAAAAACAUAGACCUGAAUGGCAUCAUCCAGUAUCCAAGGAAACCAUGUACUUACACUUCAGCCAAAUCAAACAUAAGACAUUUAGAGGAAGAAAGGAGGCGAUGGUGCCAAAAUUUGGCAUUCUAGGAUGUUACAGCAGAAAAAAGAAAAUGAGAAAUAAGGAAAACACCUGCAAUGAGAAGAUACUGAAUUGAUUAUAUCUUAAGGAUAUUUUGGGGUAGUAUGCAUUCUUGGGGAAGUUUACUCUGAAAUAUAUUUAAAGGUAAGUUAUCAGAAAUAAAAAUCACCAUCUCUAUGUCUUUCUUUUAUUU